rnacentral:rRNA from 1 species
UACGUAGGGUGCAAGCGUUGUCCGGAAUUAUUGGGCGUAAAGAGCUCGUAGGCGGUUUGUCGCGUCUGCUGUGAAAACUCGGGGCUUAACCCCGGACUUGCAGUGGGUACGGGCAGACUAGAGUGUGGUAGGGGAGACUGGAAUUCCUGGUGUAGCGGUGAAAUGCGUAGAUAUCUGGAGGAACACCGGUGGCGAAGGCGGCAUCCUGGACCGACACUGACACUGAGGAGCGAAAGCCAGGGGAGCAAACGGG